rnacentral:rRNA from 1 species
AACGAACGUUAGCGGCGCGCUUAACACAUGCAAGUCGAACGAGAAAGGGCUUCGGCCCCGGUACAGUGGCGCACGGGUGAGUAACACGUGGGUAAUCUACCCUUGAGCGGGGGAUAACGUUCCGAAAGGAGCGCUAAUACCGCAUAAGACCACGCUCUCGAAAGGGAGCGAGGUAAAAGUAGGCCUCUGAAUUCACGCUUACACUCGAGGAUGAGCCCGCGGCCCAUCAUGGUAGUUGGUAGGGUAAUGGCCUACCAAGCCGAAGACGGGUAGCUGGUCUUAGAGGAUGAUCAGCCACACUGGAACUGAGACACGGUCCAGACUCCUACGGGAGGCAGCAGUGGGGAAUCUUGCGCAAUGGGCGAAAGCCUGACGCAGCGACGCCGCGUGGGUGAUGAAGGCC